CUGGUCCUCAUGAAAUGAUUGCUAGCAAUGGAGUGCUGGUGUGUCGUGAACUUUGCUGCUUGGAAGUUGAAGUGGCAGAGAAGACGAAGCAAAAAUCAAAGAAGGAGCUUUCCCUCACUGUGAAGGGCUCCUUUGAGGGGACACAGGACAUUGUGCUGGGCCCCAACGGGGUGGUCAUCCCCUCGUAUCCCACCGAGUUCCACUACAUCAAGUACGCGGAGCCAACGCU
rnacentral:lncRNA from 1 species